UGGGCGUAAGCGCGCGCAGGCGGUUUCUUAAGUCUGAUGUGAAAGCCCACGGCUCAACCGUGGAGGGUCAUUGGAAACUGGGGAACUUGAGUGCAGAAGAGAAAAGCGGAAUUCCACGUGUAGCGGUGAAAUGCGUAGAGAUGUGGAGGAACACCAGUGGCGAAGGCGGCUUUUUGGUCUGUAACUGACGCUGAGGCGCGAAAGCGUGGGGAGCAAACAGGAUUAGAUACCCUGGUAGUCCACGCCGUAAACGAUGAGUGCUAAGUGUUAGAGGGUUUCCGCCCUUUAGUGCUGCAGCUAACGCAUUAAGCACUCCGCCUGGGGAGUACGGUCGCAAGACUGAAACUCAAAGGAAUUGACGGGGGCCCCCACAAGCGGUGGAGCAUG
rnacentral:rRNA from 2 species